UAGCCAUACCUCACAGCUCCUGGUAAGUAACGUUAGUCAGCUAAUCCUACUUACGUUUGUAACACUUUAUUAAAAAGUUAAUAAUUAUUAAGCAUUUUCUAACAAUUGUCUUUGUAUUUUACGUCAUAUUCAACAAGUUUCGUAGCUUAAUCGAAGUCACCUGAAGGACGGCUUUCCUCAGCAACGGCAAGACCCGCACUCCUCUCAUAAUCGUGAAGUUUAACAAGUUUCGCGGCUCAAACAAGAGGCACCUGUCACUGAAGGACUGCUUUUCUCAGCAACGACGUGAACAGCAUUACUCGAAUUUCCUGGUUCAGCUGAUCUACCCGUCUUCGUACAAGCAGAGUUGGCAGAGGAGGUUAUAAAAAUCUACAUCCUUCGGAACAAUAAUGGGGCAGUCAGCGACGUAAUCUUGGGAAUCUCAGCAGAGCCU